rnacentral:lncRNA from 1 species
CACAGAAAGAGCUAUUUGGAUUUUUAUACUUUGCUCCUAUUGUUGGUAUUCCAAGCAACCACUGUAAAAAAUCUUUCAAAUACAUAUAGUUUUGACUAAUGUUUUGAUUAAUGCCUUGUUUUUUUCUCACCUAAUAUCAGAAUUUUCACUAUAUUCAGUGUAACCUUUUGAAGAACAAGACCCUGGAACACUUUGUUUACCUAGUCCCAUGAAAGUUAUAAAUAUGAAUGGAGAACAUGGGCCAAGAUAAGCAGGCAUGAGAAAUCCGUAGUGGUAAUAAAUGUGGUUUCAUCAGUUCCAGCCAAUGGUCUAAAUGGGUUCUCACUAUGUAAGGAAUGAAUUUAAAAAGAUGCCUAAAUUAGAUCAAAACUUCCUUAGUCUGGGUGGUAUAUGUGGAUUUUACUCUGGUUCACCAUAAUUAUUAGGUUAAUUAUAGAAUGUUUAUUUUAUCUUCAAACUUUAUUAUAAUUUGUACUUUAUUUUCCUUUAAAGCGUUGUUCUUUUUCUCUGUUUUUCAUUCCCCAAGAAUAUACAAAAUAGGAAACUUUUUUAGAAAAUGGCAUUUUAAUAAGAGCACAAAAUAUAAGAUUAAGAUACUUGGAAUGGCAUUCCUUCUCUGAUAUUAAUCAAGCCUGUUCACCUUGAAAUAUCACAUAAUGCCUAUUCUUCUCUGAUUUUUUUAAUAAGCUGGUAUAAUGAUCAAAUAAAAAUAAUGUGGCUUCUAUGUUUUUUGGUUGGAUUGUUUUAUGGUGUUAAUAUUAUUUUAUCAACCCUAUUAAAAUUAUAUUAAUAUUUCCUGCACUGAAG